rnacentral:lncRNA from 1 species
GGGGUAUCGAGUUAAAGAUUGCCUACAGCUCAGAGAUCAGACGAAAGCUACUGUAAUGGUGGUCCAAGAUAGCAAUAUAGAAGAAAGUGAUGAUAUUCUUCUAGUGACUGAUGAUGUAUUUACUUUUUUCUCAUAGUGAAUUUUAGAUUCUAUAUAUUUGCAUCAUGUUUAUUGCAGAGAGGAGCUGUUUGUCUCUCUAAAGAGCAGUGAGGGCAUUGUUCAUCUGUCAGAUUGAUCGAGCUAUGCGAUCAAGGGCAUUGAGACAAUCAGCUUACACGCUCAUGCUGGAGUAAUAAAGAAAUUGGGUGAGGUCCAAUACAUACUCAAUUUUAGGAAUAAUCUAAUUUUACUGAGUAGAUUGGAUUCAAGCAGCUAUAGGUGAAGAGCUGACGAUGGAAUCUUAAAAGUUUUGCAUGGUAGUAGAGUUGUGAUGAAGGAAAAGAGGUAUGGAAGACAUUACCUCUUGGUAGGAAGCUCCAUACGAGAUGGAGCUUCAGGAGCCAGUGGGAAGUGAGGGAGAGCUCCAGAUAUAGGUGGAUUGGGUACGAGAUAGGAGACUCCAGAGGUUGACAGACAAUGUUGUAAGAUGAAGCUCCUAUUGCCGUUGGAGGCUAUUCCGAGCAGGUCUCAGGUUAGACAGAUCAUAGCAUG